rnacentral:misc_RNA from 1 species
AAGUCGUAACAAGGUCUCCGUUGGUGAACCAGCGGAGGGAUCAUUACCGAGUUGAAAAACUCCAACCCCUGUGAACAUAACCUCUGUCGUUGCUUCGGCGGGCUCGCCCGCCGGAGGUUACAAACUCUUGUGUAUUUUUUUAGCAUCUCUGAGCCUAAAAGACAAAUAAUCAAAACUUUCAACAACGGAUCUCUUGGUUCUG